rnacentral:rRNA from 1 species
ACACAUGCAAGUCGAACGGUAGCACAGAGAGCUUGCUCUCGGGUGACGAGUGGCGGACGGGUGAGUAAUGUCUGGGAAACUGCCUGAUGGAGGGGGAUAACUACUGGAAACGGUAGCUAAUACCGCAUAACGUCGCAAGACCAAAGAGGGGGACCUUCGGGCCUCUUGCCAUCAGAUGUGCCCAGAUGGGAUUAGCUAGUAGGUGGGGUAACGGCUCACCUAGGCGACGAUCCCUAGCUGGUCUGAGAGGAUGACCACCCACACUGGAACUGAGACACGGUCCAGACUCCUACGGGAGGCAGCAGUGGGGAAUAUUGCACAAUGGGCGCAAGCCUGAUGCAGCCAUGCCGCGUGUAUG